rnacentral:rRNA from 1 species
GCGCAGCAGUCGCGAAUCUUUUGCAAUGCCCGAAAGGGGUGACAAUGCGACGCCGCGUGAGCGAUGAAGGCCUUCGGGUUGUAAAGCUCUGUCAGCUCGGAUGAAAGCAGGGAAGCCAAUACCUUUUCUGUCUGGACGGUACGAGCAGAGGAAGCUACGGCUAACUCCGUGCCAGCGAGCCGCGGUAAUACGGAGGUGGCAAGCGUUGUUCGGAUUUACUGGGUGUAAAGGUCAUGUAGGCGUCUUAACUAAGUCGGAUGUGAAAUCCCCUGGCUCAACCAGGGAACUGCAUUCGAUACUGGUUAGAUUGAGUACGGGAGAGGAAAGCGGAAUUCCGGGAAGUAAGGGUGGAAAUCUAGUAGAUAGUCCGGAAGAACACCAUUAGGCGAAGGCGGCUUUCUGGCCCGAUACUGACGCUGAAAUGAGAAAG